AAAUGUCGCUGUAGAAAUGUUGCCGGAUGCAACUCGGAUGGAAGUAUGAGUAUAUGAAUACGAAUAUAUAUGGAAAUGGCAAAUACGAAAAAGAAGCCGGAAUAUGGCGAUCGUAUGCACAAUGAAAAUGGCCGAUCCGACAGAUAUAAGAAAAUUGGGUUCUUGGGAAAUAUCUGGCUGGUCGGCAAUGGAAAUAUGGAAUAUUCGUACUUAUCUUGGAUUUUUUGAAGAACUCGGAAAACUCCGCCGCUGAACGCUGGAACUCGUAACCUCUUGAAAAUAUCCGGCAGAUGGAUCAUGAACUGAAGGAUGGCGGCCUUUCUGGGUUCUUCACGAGUUGUGGUGGGGAAAUUCCUGGAUGCAAUGUGCAGGGCACAGAAAAAAACUGACUUGGACUUCGUUUCCCUUGAAAUUCAAUCUAUUAGCCGCAGCGUGGGCUUUCUUGGAGUGGUAACUUAGAACUGACAGCUUGAGCUUAAGAAAACCCAGGAACCCAACAUCUUAACAAAAAACAUUUAAAAUAAAUAAAUAACAAAAUACAAGCUUUAAAACUACUCUAUCACAGAAAUUAUCGCAGAUGCCAUCACCGGUUCACUGGUAAACCUGUGACCAGGAGCAAUUCGUUGGCAAUGUUCGCCGACUAGCCUCCCGCUAUAUUUCCAAUUUCCCUUCACAGCUGACUUCCGCGUCACCUUUCCCUAGCAAUUGCAACCUAUGUUGCAAGCCAUAGGUCGUGAUGCUUGAUGAUUUUUUUUUGUUUAAAUUGGCCGCCAAUAUGUUACGAAAUGUGACAGUGCCGCUAGCUCUCUCUUAUCUCUAUGCUCUACCAGUCACUUAUUGGUAGAGCUCGCAUGGAAACACGGCCCUCAAAAUUAACAUACGCGAUGCGCGUGUGUAUGGUCACCUAAUCCAGAGGAGCUCCAGGUGCAAAGAAGGGACGGGCCAAAAAUGCAAACAACGAGGACAAAAAAGGCUCUCGGUUCUAACUCCGGAUAAAUUCACAAACAGGGAAGUAAAUAUCACUAUCAAUAAUCAAGGUACACAUGAAUUUUGAUUUAUCCUAAAUUUCGCCUGGAGGCGAUGAAACCGGCCAGAAGCGAUACGGGUCUCCAAGAAAGAAAACUGGCGCACUACGGUGAGUUGUGCAAGGGUAGUCGGAGGUUCGGCCGCCCGACAAAAUGACGGUACUUCUCAACGCCGCGAUGCGACGGUAGACCGGAACGGACUCACCGGGAAAUGCUUGAUGUCGUCGGCGUCGACUGCGAAAGGCGUUUAUGGCUGGUCGUCUAUGCGGGUCGAACGGACACCGGUUGCUGGCAGUCAAAUCGGGGCUGCACUUUGAGCUGCAUCUGCCUGGUUGGACAAUAUGGCUAUCCACAUAUCUGCUGAUCAUCGUUCCUUCUCCGCCAUAUUACAUGGCCUCUCCUAAAAUUGGGUCAUUGGAUAUAUGGGGCCAUUUAAGGUAAUCCCAGAGCGAACCGGGACUUAUCCUCAAAUGGCCAGAUUGCUCGCCAGAUUCAACUUGCUGCUGCAACUAUCGCCCUAUCGACCUAACCUAUCGAUAAAGUCCGUCCCAUUAUCGACUCCAAUUGCAACAAUUACUUAAGUGUAAAUAUAACAAAAACAGAGCAAGCAUUUGAAAAUCUUUUAAAGGAAGCCGAUGAAUUUAAUGAUGUUUUUCAAAUCCGAUAUUUAGUAGAAAAACUUAAAAGAAAAAUCAAUGGAAUUGCAAUAGCAAAACGUAGUAAGAGAGGUCUAUUUAAUAUUGUAGGAUCAGUUUACAAAUAUCUAUUCGGAACCUUAGAUCAAGAUGAUAAAGAUGAGAUGGAACAGAAAAUCAAUAAAUUGGUAGACACUAGUGUUAAAAACACUGUUUUAAAUAUGAUUAUCGAUGUCAUAAAUAACGGAAUUGAAAUACUUAACAAAUUAAAAGAAAAAGGAGAAAGAGAUCAACAAGUCAGCGUUUUAAUAUUUAAUUUGCAACACUUUACGGAAUAUGUAAAAGAAAUCGAAUUAGGAAUGCAAAUGACAAGAUUGGGGCUACUUAAUCCAAAAUUAUUAAAAGACGAUUAUUUGAAAAAUAUGAAAUCUGAGAAAUUGUUGAAAAUUAAAACUUCCACUUGGCUCAAAACAGACACAAAUGAAAUUUUGAUUACUUCCCAUAUUCCUUCAGAGAUAGUCAAGUCUCCCGUUUUUGAAAUUAUUCCUUAUCCCAAUGAAAAUAAUAAUAUUUAACGGAAAAUAUACUUGAUAAAUAUUUUCUAUACGAAGAUAAAGUAUUUAAUAAAGAAACAGGAAAAAUUGUAAUGGAUGAAUGUAUAAAUGGAAUAAUGGCAUUGUUGAGUCAAAAUUGCAAUAAUAAAGAAAUUAAGUUGGAAGUAACCAUCACAUACAAAAUAUUAUAAUGUAUUUCAAACAAUAACUUUAAAAACUUUUGUAAUCGUUAUUAUAAGCAUUUUAUUGUAUUUAUGGUAUAAAUUUAAGAGCAUACCAAGAAUACUUACUUAUUGUAAAAUAUGUAAACCAAAGGAAGAAACACCAAAGAAUACAGAAAUUGUAAACGAUCUACCCAAUCAGAUUAAAAUAUAAUGUUAUACCCAAGACUAUCCACCUGAGGACAGGCCAAAUUCAACGGAUGGGGGAGUGACAUAUCCAUAGCACCACGUACCCCUAUGUACAAGCCCUUCAGUUCUGCAGUAGGGACGCGGUGACA